rnacentral:lncRNA from 1 species
CCAAGAAUGUUGGGAAAUCUACGGACACUCGACAGACUCCUCCAACUAGAGUGAAGGUUUGGCCGUCAAUACCACAGAAGACUCUGGAGGCCUUAAUCGAAGCUGGGCAUGGUGGAUCUGGUUGAAACAUAGGGUAUAUGGUUCAGGAACCUUCUAUUUACGAGAAAUCUAUAAUUACAGAGGUUAACACGACGGAGCAGUCGACCUAGAGGAAAUUAGAGCUCAAACCCAGCAAUGAGGAACCUCAAAAAUGGACUAACUUCUUUUCUGGGGCUAGGGUACAUAUUUAAUUUUCAUCCCCCACCCCCACCCCCACCCCCCCAACUACACAAAAUGGUGAUGCAUUUGUUGCACUUAGCCAGGAAACGAUGGCACUAAAAUUGGGAAAUAAAAGUCCACGCUUAUAUUGUAUAUAGUGCGGG